CGGCCGGCCGACCGGCGCGACGGUGAGUAACACGUAUGCAACCUGCCCUCUUCAGGGGGACAACCUUCCGAAAGGGAGGCUAAUCCCGCGUAUAUCGGUUUCGGGCAUCCGAGAUCGAGGAAAGAUUCAUCGGAAGAGGAUGGGCAUGCGGCGCAUUAGCUAGACGGCGGGGUAACGGCCCACCGUGGCGACGAUGCGUAGGGGUUCUGAGAGGAAGGUCCCCCACACUGGUACUGAGACACGGACCAGACUCCUACGGAAGGCAGCAG
rnacentral:rRNA from 1 species